GCUUGGAAUCAUGGACGUUUGAAACAAUUGUGAUCUUGUCUGGUAUUCUUGCUAAUGGGAAAUUGGAAACAUCGGUUCUUUCUAUAUGUCUUAACACGUCUGGUAUAUUUUGGAUGGUACCAUUUGGAGUUAGUGCUGCUGGAAGUACAAGGAUCUCAAAUGAAUUAGGAGCUGGUAGACCAAAAGCUGCAUAUUUAGCAGUUAAAGUCACCAUGUUCAUGGCCCUUUUGGUGGGGCUUGUAGAAUUUUCUAUCCUUAUGUCGUUAUGGAAAGUUUGGGGGCGUGCUUUUACCAAUGUGCAUGAAGUUCUCACACAUGUGAUU